ACUUUCUAUGAAAUGUCACAUUUCUCACUAGCGACUUCUUAAAUGUUAUGUUUUUAUAUUACAACAUGUACAAAACAGUGCUUUUUUGCCAAAAACUUGUUUCGCUAAUUUGUUCUUAAAUAUACUGUUAUAACCCCAUUUUUAACAACAAUAUCAAGGAAACCAUCACCGACAAUCCAACAAUGGCGGGACUGUGGAGGUUCCAAUCCUGCCAAAACAAAAGGUCUUAAAAUUCUAUCCUUAUCAAGGAAGGAUAAGCAGCGAGAGGGAAUGCCUAUAAAGGGCACGGGAGGGAGUUCACAAGGAGAGGGGGGAAAAAGCAAACAGAUGGCAGAGGGGAGAACAGAUGAGAAAACAAAAGAGAAGAAAGGGAGGAAAACAGAGGAAAAACCAAAGAGUGUGAUAGAGACAGAGAGAAAUAGAAGAACAACAACAGACAGAGAAGCGAGAUAGAAGGAGAGGAGGGUCAUCGCAGGGGCGCCACCCGCCAGUCUCCAUCGCCAUCCGCUUUGCUCCCAGUAGCUGCUCGCUCAGGAUUCGGAGUAGCAUGUAAUUGAGGGCAAACGGCAUCAGCCGAAAGAACGAAGCCCAAAACCUAGCAGCCUAGCGGUAUGCUGGGAUGCCCUCUUCAUCGUGCUACAAAAGGAAGGGACUGAAAACAUGCAAGGUAGCUGUCUAAUUUGCCGUGCGAGUGUGGGACAAUCUUUUUGACAGUAAUUAUCGAAAGCCCCACCAGCAGAGGUUGCGGUCAGGCUUUCUGUCAAGUCGGUGUCCAACGAGGGUAGGAUUAUCAUUAAGAGAGCUUGGUUGCUAGCGAUUGGCUUCACAAAUUAUUGCAAUCAGGCUGUUGCUUAGUUGUCUUGCUCACUCCUGUAUUGUUGAUUUCGAAAUCUUGGCUAGUACAUCCAGAGAGGGAUCGCCAUGGCCUGAAGUUCAUCUUUCAUCUGUGUAGACCCUACAAAAACUAUGGCUGAGAAUAUAGCUCAAAACUCAUGAAAAAUUAACUACGGCUCUUCUUUUAGCCCACAAUUUGAUGCGUGGUUGACUAAACUUUCUCAUGCGACAUGGAUCACGUCGUUCCUUUUACGACAAGAACGGUGAGAAAGGCCAAAUUAAUGUUUCCUCGAGUUGAUGAUUCUUCAAAGAAAGAAGACACUUACGCUUUGAUUUUCCUUAGAAUUUUGUUCUUAUCAAAAAUAAAUAUGUGGCUUGCUUGAUAGAGAACGAGUUCAUUGGACAUGGUUAAGUUUGGAUGAGAACCCAUCUUAUAUUUACCUUCUAUCAAUGGAAAUCUCAUGAGUGUAACUUGUUGUUGUU